AGGAGCGAGGAGGGUCCCCGAUUGGGUGAGAACCCUAGCCCAUUCUCCCCUUCUCCACCGCAGCCGUCGCCGCCAUGGUCCCGUCCUCCUCUCCUCCCCGUACAUCUCCCAGCACCGAGUUCGCUGCCUUAGCUGCUCUCCCCACUACCAGCAUGCCGUCGACGGCCAACCGGGCCGCCGCACGCAGGAAGGAAGAGCAGCAGCAGCCGGGACGAGGGCGGGGAUGGAGAACGCGGCGUCCAUCUAGCGGAGCCUCCGUCCAUCCCUCACCCCUGAUGCCGCCGUCCUUCCUCCUCCCCAUCGGGGCCAGGCAGAGGAGGAGGAGCGCCGGCCACGAGCACGACGAGGAGGCGGCCGGCAUCACUGUGCGUCACCCGGCCAAGGUCUUCUCCCGCUGCUCUGGGUCGCGCGCCGCCUCUGCCGCCGACAGGAGGGGGCCGCGGCAGCCGCCACGCAUCCCGGCGACCAGGGCCCCCCCCGGCGUGGUUCCCUCAACGGAGGGAUGCUUCCUCCGUCCACUGCCUGCUCCAUGCCGACACCAUCAGUAGCAGCGGCGGUCGGGCUGAUGCGGACUCCGCACCACCACCGACAGCUUCGCCACGGACCGCAUUGUCUCCGACCAUGGCGAAAAGGCGCCCAACGUCGUCUACAGCGGCACCCUCUUCGGCCCUGACCUAGUCACCGGGAUGCUCAUCGCGCUCGUUGGAUUCGGGCUCUACAAGCUUCGAUUCCCAAGUGUCAUGAAAUGUAUCAAAAUCGGUCUUCCAGAGAUCAUACUGCUGGUAGCUCUUUCCCAGUACAUACCUCAUCCGGUGCCUUUGCUGGGCACUGCCUUUGAGGGGUUCGCCGUCAUAAUGUCCGUUACUUUCUUGUGGCUUUACGCGUUCUUCCUGACGGUUGGCAGGGCGUAUAAGAAUGCUGCUCCACCUGACCAUCCCAAUACUGCAGGAGUGUGUAUGUGUUGCGAGCAGUGAUCGGUACAACCAAUGCAUCGCUACUGGAGUACUGGCCCUUUUGGUGUGAGUAUGGCUGGAUUAUUUGCUUCUUUCAUGAUGAAGAAAUGGCCAUAGCCAUGGGAGUUUCCUAUUGGCGAUGAUAGCCGCUAUUUUGUGUUUCUGGUUCUAUAUAUAUACUGGUUGGAUGUUGACAAACAAUUUCCAUGCCUUCUUUUUCUAUGGGUGUAUGCUCAGCCAGGGUUAGAAGCAGUGGGUCAUCCUCGACCUCAUGCCGCCCAUCUAGAUAGAAGAAGAUGGGUGCUGCGGGCGACGAGGCUGACGCGCCAUCGUCCUGUCUUCUGUGAGGGGAUCCAUCAUGAGGAACCAGCGGACGCGAUACGGGUACCCGAUCCUUACUGCGGAAUCACCUCUUCUUGUGGAUGGUUGCUGAACAGCAGCAGUUCCAUCUCCAUCCCCAACGCAUCCUUGCCUCAUCUUGAUCUGCAAUGAAUGAGAGCUCAUAGAAAGAGAUUUGAUGUGAUGAUUGAGGUGGAAGGCUACCUUAACCUAUGGAUCAAAGAUUGAUCAAGAAAGACAAAUUGUCUCAUGCUUCAAGUACCAAGAAGAUAAUUUCUUGCAAGAUAAGGAAAAAUGGGUGUUGUAUCCGGGAGUCAAAGUUAGUUGCUUUCUUCCUUACUUGUGCUUAUCCAUCCCCAAGAUACACUCACAGGCUGUUUGACCCUGUUUCAAUUUGCCUUCUUCUUGACCAAAUUGAUUGUUGUUUCCCCUCCUAAUCUCCGUGGAUAAGUAGACCCCUUACUGCUAAAUUUAGUUGCCUUCGCUUGCCCUUUAAGGUGUUGUGUCCCUUGGCGAAUGUAGUGAUGGACUGGUCUUUGGCACUUCUCAGUCGACCAGGUCUGGAUUCACCUAGCACAACCGGAGACAUGGUCGGUUGUCUGUUGGUCUGGAAACUACACAACUUCUCUGAAACCCACUAGCCAAGACAGGAUAAUCAUACUCAAGUCUGAUUGUACGAUGGCUCCUGUGGAUGCUCUGGUUGUUGGAGAGAUUCUGUCUGUAGAGGAUGUUUUUCAGCGCUUGAUCAGCUACGAUGAAGAGCAAUGCCUUGAAACAUUUCUUUGUGGUCUCUGCACAAUUUAUUUCAGUGAGCACCCAGUAAGGGAGAACACUACUGAUACAGUAUAUAUUGGACACUGAAUUGGUGCUCCAUGGAGCAAGGGCACCAAGAUUUAUGCACAAAUCCAAACCAAAUUUGGUCGACGCCACCGUGGCAGUGUUCUUCGGCACUCGGGUCAACAUAGUAGGUUUCUCCUUGUCAUUGACAGCAUCGGUUAGCAUAGGGGCAGCGGUCGCGGUCACAGUCACCCGAGGAGCACAGCCACACGGGGCUAGUCCCGCUGCCACCAGAGAAGAGCGGAGGAGGUCGAUACAGGGUCGAGGAGGGGCACGGGCGAGGUUCAUGCCGCACGGGGGCACGCGGCGUCCAGCGAGAGAAGGCUUCUCCUGUUCCCGUGCCGCCAGGCACCCCUCACCGCCGCCCUACUUGUCCUCCGGUCGUCAGUGCUCUGGUUGCUGGAUUUUGCUUAUCUGCCGGCAGACCGCACCGGAGGCCGCUGCCAUAUAGGGGCUGAUGAGGGCAUCGUGAUGAGGUGAGCCUCCUUCUGCCAGUGCGGCUCCCCUUCGUGGUGCCGAUUCGUCUUAGCCUCUCUCUCUCUAUCACACACACACACACACACACACACACACAGAUGCUCCUUCCAUCUCCUGUCGUGCAGGUUGCCGCUUUUGCCAUAGCAGAGGGGAUCCAGCCGGCACGCUGCGUCUCCCAUAAACAUGCCUAAUUUUAUAUGCAGAGGUAGCAUUGAUCUACUUGCCCCCUUCAAAAGGCCAUAUGUGUUGCUUUGUUUUACUUCUCUUUCAUAUCCAGUUAUUUAGAAAUUCCCUGCUAACCUCCUGGCACUUAAAUACGAUUAGGUAUAAUGUGAAGCAUUUUCUUGACAGAGGUACCUAUUGCUGGAUCAUUAUGUUGCUAUAUGUUGCAGGAAUGUAUCCAUGAACUGGGAAACCUGUGAACUCUUUGAUACGCCUUUUAUGUGUUGCUUUUGGUCUUGAUAGAGGGAGAUACAUUGACAGGAAGUUCUCACUCGCUAAAAUUGUUUAUAUCAGGGGCAGAAUUAUUGUUGAAACACGCACCGUGUGAAGAUGAAUAGGAACCUUUCAUAAUUAUUCCCAAACAUGCCACUGUGUCAUCAUUAGCCAGUGCAGGUAUUGCUCUCUAGCUGAUAUAUUGUUUAGUUCUUCUUGGUUUCAAUUAUGUUGGCCCUCCUUAAGAUUGUUUGGGAAUGUGAGGCUUUAAAGUUUCAACCUUGUGCAAGGCUCCAAAGCUUUACCAGUUUUCCACUUGCUUCAAAUGAAUUUGUCAGUGAAGAAACCAUGAAUUCUUUUGUUUUCUUUUUUACCUACACAUAACCUUUCAUGGGAAGAUAGUGUGUCAUUUCCCCAUUAGGGUUGGAGUACUUGAUGUAUGUGUUGUAUUAGUGACGUGGUCAUAACAAGCAACCAUAAAUAUUGUUUUUGAUUUCCUUGGAUGAAGACACUUUUAUGUGACAACCAUAUGUUUACUAAUACAUAGUGGGGUUUCGGAAACUGGUGGUUAUUUUUGUUUGUUGACAACCAAUUACUGUGAUUCCAGGAACUCUUAGAUUAUACAAGUCCCUAUGUUUGUUUGGAUUCAUGAACCAUGGGACUAGACUUUCAUUCGAUGCCACUAGGUCCUGUGAUGCACCGUGUAAACUACCAUGUGAUCUCCCUCUUCUUUUGUGAAUGCGUCCCUUUUGUCACAUCUAUCCAUCCUUUUGUACUUGAUAUCUACCGUGUAUGAACAAUUGUAUCCUUUAAUUUACCAUGUAUAUGAACAUUGCAUCCUCAAA